AUUGAACGCUGGCGGAAUGCUUUACACAUGCAAGUCGAACGGUAACAGGUCUUCGGAUGCUGACGAGUGGCGAACGGGUGAGUAAUAUAUCGGAACGUGCCCAGUCGUGGGGGAUAACGUAGCGAAAGUUACGCUAAUACCGCAUGCGAUCUAUGGAUGAAAGCGGGGGAUCGCAAGACCUCGCGCGAUUGGAGCGGCCGAUAUCAGAUUAGGUAGUUGGGGGGGUAAAGGCUCACCAAGCCAACGAUCUGUAGCUGGUCGGAGAGGACGACCAGCCACACUGGAACUGAGACACGGUCCAGACUCCUACGGGAGGCAGCAGUGGGGAAUUUUGGACAAUGGACGCAAGUCUGAUUCAGCCAUUCCGCGUGCAGGAUGAAGGCCCUCGGGUUGUAAACUGCUUUUGUACGGAACGAAAAGGUCUCUAUUAAUACUAGGGGCUCAUGACGGUACCGUAAGAAUAAGCACCGGCUAACUACGUGCCAGCCGCCGCCGUAACAC
rnacentral:rRNA from 1 species